UACGUAGGGUGCGAGCGUUGUCCGGAAUUAUUGGGCGUAAAGGGCUCGUAGGCGGUCUGUUGCGUCGGGAGUGAAAACUCAGGGCUUAACCCUGAGCCUGCUUCCGAUACGGGCAGACUAGAGGUAUGCAGGGGAGAACGGAAUUCCUGGUGUAGCGGUGAAAUGCGUAGAUAUCAGGAAGAACACCCGUGGCGAAGGCGGCUCUCUGGAACGCAACUGACGCUGAGACGCGAAAGCGUGGGGAGCAAACAGG
rnacentral:rRNA from 1 species